CACUCCUGCGGGAGGCAGCAGUGGGGAAUUUUGGACAAUGGGCGAAAGCCUGAUCCAGCAAUGCCGCGUGAGUGAAGAAGGCCUUCGGGUUGUAAAGCUCUUUUGUCAGGGAAGAAACGGUGAAAGCUAAUAUCUUUUGCUAAUGACGGUACCUGAAGAAUAAGCACCGGCUAACUACGUGCCAGCAGCCGCGGUAAUACGUAGGGUGCAAGCGUUAAUCGGAAUUACUGGGCGUAAAGCGUGCGCAGGCGGUUUUGUAAGUCUGAUGUGAAAUCCCCGGGCUCAACCUGGGAAUUGCAUUGGAGACUGCAAGGCUAGAAUCUGGCAGAGGGGGGUAGAAUUCCACGUGUAGCAGUGAAAUGCGUAGAUAUGUGGAGGAACACCGAUGGCGAAGGCAGCCCCCUGGGUCAAGAUUGACGCUCAUGCACGAAAGCGUGGGGAGCAAACAGGAUUAGAAACCCCUGUAGUCCCAUGAU
rnacentral:rRNA from 1 species